rnacentral:rRNA from 1 species
UGUGGAAGGGGGAAAAGCUAACAAGGUUUCCGUAGGUGAACCUGCCGGACCAGGAUCAUUG